rnacentral:rRNA from 1 species
GACGAACGCUGGCGGCGUGCUUAACACAUGCAAGUCGAACGCAGUGGCAAACGGGUGAGUAACACGUGAGUAACCUGCCCCCUUCUUUGGGAUAACACCAGGAAAAGGGUGCUAAUACUGGAUAGUGGUGGAUGGGCUCGAGGCCUAUCCGCUUGUUGGUGGGGUGAUGGCCUAACAAGGCUUGGACGGUUAGCCGGCCUGAGAUGUGGACCGGUCAAAUUGGGACUGAGAGACGGCCCAGACUCGUACGGGAGGUAGCAGGGGGGAAUAUUGCAAAAUGGGCGAAAGCCUGAUGCAGCGACGCCUCGUGAGGGAUGACGGCCUUCGGGUUGUAAACCUCUUUCGCUCAUGGUCGGGGAGUGGGUAAAGAUGCGCCGGCUAACUACGUGCCAGCAGCCGCGGUAAUUC